rnacentral:rRNA from 1 species
AGCGAACGCUGGCGGCAGGCCUAACACAUGCAAGUCGAACGCCCAGCAAUGGGAGUGGCAGACGGGAUAGUAACACGUGGGAACGCGCCCUUCGGUUCGGAAUAACUCAGGGAAACUUGAGCUAAUACCGGAUACGCCCUUACGGGGAAAGAUUUAUUGCCGAAGGAACGGCCCGCGUCGGAUUAGCUAGUUGGUGAGGUAAUGGCUCACCAAGGCGACGAUCCGUAGCUGGUCUGAGAGGAUGACCAGCAUCACUGGGACUGAGACACGGCCCAGACUCCUACGGGAGGCAGCAGUGGGGAAUAUUGGACAAUGGGCGAAAGCCUGAUCCAGCAAUGCCGCGUGAGUGAUGAAGGCCUUAGGGUUGUAAAGCUCUUUUACCAGGGAUGAUAAUGACAGUACCU